rnacentral:lncRNA from 1 species
CUAUAUUUAGUCUCUACAUGUCAUUGUUUGUUAUCGUUUGGUUAUCGCACCCCUUGAUUGCAUUGUAUAGUUGUGGAUAGACAUGUAGAGCAGGCUGCAUUCGUAUUUCAGUAUCUCUGUGGACCUUGGGUCCAGGCAACACAUCGACUCUCUUGUCGUGUGUUUCGAUCUGGUUGAUCGAGGUUCGGCGUUGUACGCCCUAGCNNNNNNN